rnacentral:rRNA from 1 species
AUACGGAGGGUGCAAGCGUUAAUCGGAAUUACUGGGCGUAAAGCGUACGUAGGCGGUUCGUUAAGUUAGAUGUGAAAGCCCCGGGCUUAACCUGGGAACUGCAUUUAAAACUGGCGAACUAGAGUUGAGUAGAGGGGAGUGGAAUUUCAGGUGUAGCGGUGAAAUGCGUAGAGAUCUGAAGGAACACCAGCGGCGAAGGCGGCUCCCUGGACUCAAACUGACGCUGAGGUACGAAAGCGUGGGUAGCAAACGGGAUUAGAAACCCGAGUAGUCC